AUGGAUGUUAUCUUCUUCGUUUCUCUAGGUCCACAUCAUAGCAAACAAGAAGAAGAAGAUCAAGAAGAAAACAACAACAAUAUCGAAUUGCUAUUAAGAAACGAGGAGAUCUACAUCCAACAACACCAACACCAACAUCAACAGAGGGUUCGAGAUAUGGUCUGAUCAUCAUCAACCAAGCUACUACUCCUUUAGUUUGGGUCCAUAUAGUGAGACAAACACCACUAAAAACCUAAACAAUGACGUGUCGGUGUCUUUCUCUGAUAAGUCAAACCAAAUCGGGUUCAUCGUGAUUUGGUUUUCUUCGUCUGGAUCGGGUCUAGGAAGCGGCACAAAUUGCAGAGACUACGUCAUCCUCUCCGGAGGAUCUUAUUACGCAGGUGUCGCUAGUGGAGAGACCUAUUCGGGCCAGCUCAAGGGCAUCAAGUCUUGACUCCAAACCCGAUGAUCAAGCAGAGGUAGGAGCUGCGAUGGUUGAGGGGCGGCAGCCAUGGAAACAAGCAGCUUUGUGCGGCGUCUUCAUGGUGAUAGGACGAUCAGAUGGGGAUUGGGUCGGGUUGGCUUUGUUUUGGUUCGGGUAGUAUUCUUUGGGCUUAGCCCAAAACCGUAAAAACAAAAAAGGGUGAGUCGAGAAGGUUGUAGGCACGGGUAAAAAAUGAUAAAAACCCUAAUACUCCAAUUCAACAUAAUCAAGAUUAGAGUCGUCGACCCCUUCCUUCGUAUCAUACAUUCCGGUGUUUCUCGUUGGCAGUGGUUGAGAGAUAUGGCCACCGACGGUCCGAAAAUACCUUCGGACAAGGUGGAUGUAAUCCUGACCGUUGAAGACGGUGAUUAUCCUUCGGGUGUGCACUGAGGAGGGACUUCUGAAGGCUGUUCUUGGAUUGUAUGGGAUGACCGUUGCAGUCGCGAAACCAAUGGUGGUUUGCUCGUGCAAAGACAAUUCAGUUCGUAUGUAUGAAUUGCCAACUUUUUUAGAGAGAGGUCGACUGUUUACACGACAAGAAGUUCGAUCCCUCGAGAUAGGCCCUGACAAACUCUGCUUUACUGGAGAUGGAACUGGUUUCCCGAAUGUAUGGAAAUCAUUGGAUGAGCCUAAGGUGCCAUCCUCCUGAGCUACAAGAAAAGUUCUUUCGAGAAGGAGACUACAAGAUAUGCUUAUAUAAUAAUAAAGGGUCAAGUUCAACUACUGUUCAAAGAAUUAUUUAUUUAUUUUUUCCAAGUGGAAGACAAAACAUAAUUACACAGAAACAGAUAAUUGGAUAAAUGUGUUAUGUGUAUUAGGGGAAGGUUGAGAAGUCUGAUUUUUGGAUAAAUGUGACUCUUAUAUCUAACUGAAGGUGUUUUUGGUUCUUGCUUUCCAAGUCCUUCUACUGUCGCUGCACCCCACUUUCUGAUCCAUCUGCACUGUUAUGGUUCGUCUCUUUCCCAGCAGAAAUCACACAAAGAGCAAGUUAAAAUAGAAUAGCAUCUCCAUUUUUGUUGAUGCAACGCCUUCUUCCCUCCUCCUACCCCUCUUCUUGAAUCGGUUCGUAUUAUUAUAAUCAUUGUUGUGUAUGAUGUUAUUACCAAUAUGAAUAAUUUUUUUCAUAUGAAAUUCUAUUCAAUAGUUUGUUGACAAAAAACGAGAUUUUCAAAUUGAAUGCAUGUAAGUUUGAUUAAUUCCUUUUCAAAAUAAAAUGUUAAAAUUUUGUUGAGAUAAUACAAAAUAAUGGUGUAUAGGUAUUUUUUUCUUUGUCGCUUGUUAAUAAUUAAUUGAGUAGGUGUUGCCGACUACAACAGGUAGCAUGAAUUAAAUUUAAAAGAAAUAUUGGAAAGGACUUUCAAAACCGAUAUCGUUGGAGCUACUAGCCGGUGAUGGAAUAAAAGUAAAAUAGAGCAAGAAAGAAGAUGUUUGUGUUUGUUUGAAUGAAAGUUGGUGCCGAGUUGUCGAGUUAUUGGGGUUAAAGCAUGGGUAUUUCGUUGGUUUUAAGUGUAAUAGUUAAUCUAAAUUUAAAUUCAUGGUGAUCCAUUCGAGUGACUCGGAGAUUGAUUAUUCAAGUUUAAGAAGUUUCCAUGACGAUCACCACCAUCUGGGAAAUAAUUUUCUGAUUUAUAUGGGGGUGAUCAUUAUGAAAACUUCUCAAACUUAAAUAAUCAAUCUUCGAAGCACUCGAACGAAUCACCAUGAAUUUAAAUUUGGAUUCACCAUUAUACUUAAAAACCACAAAAUACUCAUGCUUUAAUCCCAAGAACUCAAGAACUUUGUACCAACCUUCAUUCAACCAAACACUAUCAUCUUUUUCUUGCUCCAUUUUACUUUUACUCCAUCCCCGGCUGGUAGCUCCAACAAUAUUGGAUUUAAUAGUCCUUUCCAAUAUUUCUUAAAAAAAAUCUGAAGUCGGAUACAUGUCAUAAAUUGAAUAUUAACAAUUGACAAAGAAAAAUGAAAUCAACAAUCUUAUUUAGUAUUUUCUCGAGAAAAAUUUAUCGUUUUAAGGAUGAAUAGGAAUGCAUCAAAUUUAAACUGAUACAAGUCAUGACGUAUUUGUUUGUCAAUUAGUUAUUAAAUAUAAUUUUACAUGAAAGAAAAAAAUUAUAAUUAUAUUAACAAUUUUUCAUCACAAUUCAUGAGGAGGAGGAGGAGAGUUAAGAAGAAGAAGCUGCGUGCACACGUUUAGUUAACGAAGAAGUCGAAGAAGAAUAGUAAGAUUUACCGUAGACGCUAGAAGUCUUUGCUACAUUAAGAAGUUAAUUAGGUGGUGCGAGACAUUACACCUAAUGAUGCGAUUAUAGACCGGGUUUUUGGGAAGGCAAUAAGGUCAUGUACCGCUGAGCUUGAACUAGCAGAUAAUUGUCGUCCAGGUGAUGUUGUUGAGGUCUUCCAAAACUAUUCCUGGAAGAUGGCUGUAGUUUCGAAGGAUUGGGAGAACAAGUAUGUUUCGGUCAGGCUUGUUGGAUCUACUAUGGAAUUUCUAUCGAACAAAUUUGACAUCCGGGUGAGACAAUCUUGGCAAGAUGACAGGAUGAUUUUGAUGCGGAAGAGAUUCUGAUAUUGGAUCCAAGAGUGAAUACAUGGAAUAAGAUUUUUUUAGUAGCAUGCUUCAUUUCAUUGUUUGUGGAUCCACUGUUCUUUUACUUGUCAAUGGCGAAGAAAUAAAUGUGCGUUGACAUGUCUAUUUGUGUUCAAGUUUCCCUCACCAUAAUCCAGUCCAUGGUUCUUGUGUUUUACAUUAUUUAGACUGAUGUGAGGUUUCAAUAUGCUUAUAUGGAGCCUUUUUUGUGCCUUUCUGGUAGAGGAGAGCUUAUCAUAGACUCCUACAAGAUUUCAUCGUAGUAUAUGUAUAAGAACUUUUGUUAUGAUCUACUAGCUGCACAGCCUCUUCCACAGGUGGUUAUUCGAAGUGUAAUUCCAAAUCUAAAGGGGGACACAAAUUUUUUCGUCAAGGCAUGUAGAAGGGAAUGGUUACCAUUUUUUUCAGUACCUCUUCAGGCUAUAUGUGAUUUAUCCACUCUAACAUGAAAUCCUUGAGGCCAAAGGGGUAAUGCUGGAGAAAGCUUCGGCUGGUGCAGCAUAUAAUCUUACGCUCUAUAUGCUAGCAAGUCAUGAUCAUGCUGGUAUCUGCUCUCAAUUGAAAAUCACGAUGAGUGUUGGAAGAAAGUUUGUACUGUAUAGUACCGACAUUGAAAGUACCAUUAUCUUGAAUGAGAAAGCUUAAGGGACCUAAGUAGGACUUCAUGGCUCAAAUCAAGCAAUAUCUCAAGCCUCUGUGAUCAGGACAGUGAUCUCUUUCACUUUGGUAUCUUUGCUGAUACUCUUUCUUUGGAAGUUACAGCCUCAUAAUUCUUCAGUAAAUAUUACAGUAGUCUUCAGUGGGGGCUGAGAAAUCUUAGGACAUAAUCUCUUGCCAAGCAUGCAAGCCACGGAUAAGAAUUUUGUUGUGAUUGUUGCAAUUCUUGGAUUGGUGCUGUUUGCAUUGCUCAUAAGCAAUAUGCAAAUGGAGUGCGAUGAAGGAAAAUGUUUGCUGCCUACACAAGAAGCAUUGGCAGCAGGAUUCCAUAGGCUAAAAUUGGAUAUGUAUCGUUGUACAAUAUAGACGUUAAUUGCACCGGGACCCCUAACUUGGGAACAAGAAUAAUUGACAACAUAGGCGAUGUCUUGCGCUUCGCAUAUCAAAUGAUGAACAUUUAGUGGAGCAAAGAAAUUUGCUUUCUUUCAAAAAUAGUCUUCCUUUGAGAUGACAUUCUUAAUUGUAAUCCUACUUUAUACUUCUUUUUCAGUUAGUUUAUUGACAAUUUUUUCUUAGCCUCAUUCAACUGUAUCAAUCAAGAUGAAGUAUGUCCUACACUGAAAAUUUAUUACUUAGAGAUACAAUUUACCAUGAAUGCAUAUGCCAAUCUUCAUGAA